rnacentral:rRNA from 1 species
AGCGUAGGUGGAUAUUUAAGUGGGAUGUGAAAUACUCGGGCUUAACCUGGGUGCUGCAUUCCAAACUGGAUAUCUAGAGUGCAGGAGAGGAAAGUAGAAUUCCUAGUGUAGCGGUGAAAUGCGUAGAGAUUAGGAAGAAUACCAGUGGCGAAGGCGACUUUCUGGACUGUAACUGACACUGAGGCUCGAAAGCGUGGGGAGCAAACAGAAUUAGAUACUCUGGUA